rnacentral:rRNA from 1 species
GCACAAGCGGUGGAGCAUGUGGUUAAUUCGAAGCAACGCGAAGAACCUUACCAGGUCUUGACAUCCCGAUGCUAUUUCUAGAGAUAGAAAGUUACUUCGGUACAUCGGUGACAGGUGGUGCAUGGUUGUCGUCAGCUCGUGUCGUGAGAUGUUGGGUUAAGUCCCGCAACGAGCGCAACCCUCGACCUUAGUUGCCAGCAUUCAGUUGGGCACUCUAAGGUGACUGCCGGCUAAAAGUCGGAGGAAGGUGGGGAUGACGUCAAAUCAUCAUGCCCCUUAUGACCUGGGCUACACACGUGCUACAAUGGGCGGUACAAAGGGUCGCGAACCCGCGAGGGGGAGCCAAUCCCAAAAAGCCGCUCUCAGUUCGGAUUGCAGGCUGCAACUCGCCUGCAUGAAGCCGGAAUCGCUAGUAAUCGCGGAUCAGCAUGCCGCGGUGAAUACGUUCCCGGGCCUU